rnacentral:rRNA from 2 species
UAAAGCGGGUGAAAAGCCCGCUCGCCGGAAGACCAAGGGUUCCUGUCCAACGUUAAUCGGGGCAGGGUGAGUCGACCCCUAAGGCGAGGCCGAAAGGCGUAGUCGAUGGGAAACAGGUUAAUAUUCCCGUACUUGGUGUUACUGCGAAGGGGGGACGGAGAAGGCUAUGUUGGCCGGGCGACGGUUGUCCCGGUUUAAGCGUGUAGGCUGGUUUUCCAGGCAAAUCCGGAAAAUCAAGGCUG